AUUUAGUUAUUAAAAGUGAUUAAUUACAAGAUUACGGUUAGGAUCUGGAAAUUAGUAGCAAUUAUAUAGGAGUUGUAGAAGUCUGUUGGGGGGCUAGACUAUGAUAGUCAUGAACCAGGGUUAAGCUUGGUGCUUCUUUUUUAUUUUUUUUAUUUUCUUUGUUGUUGAAGAGUAAUGGAUAGUUUCUGAAUACUGAGAAGUGAUUCUAUGGAAUAAAUCAGAGAUUGAUUUAUGAAUUAUUGAUUAUGUAAUUGGAGUACUAAGUGAUUAAAUUAUAUGAGAAGUUAUUGGAAGAUUGAUUAUGGAUGGAAGAUUAUGAUUGUUGUUUAUUGAGAGUUGUGUGCAUGUAUUUCGAAAGAGGAAGUUUGUGAUUACAAGAAUUCUGUGAAUUCAGAUUGGUUGGAGUGAAGUCUAUUAUUCUUGGUGUUAGAUGGAAUUUAUUGAGUUCUGAGCG
rnacentral:lncRNA from 1 species